rnacentral:lncRNA from 1 species
UUUUUUUCUUUUUUUUUUUCAGGGUCUCCCUCUGUCACCCAGGCUGGAGUGCAGGGAUGCGAACAUGGCUCACUGUAGCUUCAACCUCCUGGGCUCAAGUGAUCCUCCUGCCUCAGCCUCCUGAGAAGGUAAGACCACAGGCACAUGCCACCACACCUGGCUAAUUUUAAAAAUUUUUUUGUAGAGCUGAGGUCUCACUGUCUUGUCCAGGAUGGUCUUGAACCUCUGGACUUCUGCCUUGGCCUCUCAAAGCUCUGGGAUUACAGGCAUGAGUCACCACACCUGGACUACAUCCCAUUCUUUCUUACAACCAGACUUUUUUGGUAUUUUCCUCUUACCCCCAAUUGUCCAAAUCUUUGCACAAAUCUUAUAAGGUAUAUUUAAGUCAAACAUUCUCUACAAAACCUUACCUCACAUUGAUAUUCACUGUUAACCUUCUCCCUUCAAAAUGUUUGUGUGGCAUUAAGGCCAUAGCCCUUAAAUGAACUAGAAACUUGCUUUCAGAAUAAUCUACUUAGUAACAAAUAAAAAUCCCAUUUGCAUUUUUACUAAGAAUGAACAUUAUCUUCAGGGAUACCAUGGCAAAAUUUCAUGUCUAAUGAAAGGAAACAGCUUCAGACAAGAAGGAAUUCCAUUUACACAGUAAUGUUUUGCAUUGCUCCUUUGAUGGCUUCAAGAAGAGGAGACAAAAUUAAACAAAGUUUAUAAAUACCUUAAACUUCCUUUCUUCCUUGAUAGUAAGCAGAAAUACUGUAUGAAGUCUAUCUCAAAAUCUGACUUUAGAAUUGCUUUGAUAAACAAAAUUACUCAAGUCAUAUCUAUGCCUUUCUGUUCAUUAAGAGAAGGAUAAGGUGGCAAAAUAUAAAAAGAUGGAACCAGUAAGAGAUUUGACUAUUGGAUAAAUGUUAUUAAAGGAAAAAUUAGGUCUGAAUUUUUGUCCAAUUAACACCAAACAUCAGGCAUCUCUUGAAAAGCCACCCAAAGCACCAUAAUAUCAAAGAGUUAAUUGUAUCAUAAAAAGUAAAAAUAUGGCCCCAACUUUGUCAUCACCUCUCCUUCUUGUUCCUCAUCAUCCCCACUACAAUAAAAGGAACAAUGUAAAUAUAAGUCUGAGGCUGGACUUGGCUAGUUUUUCUGUAUUUACACUAAGACAUGGUCCACAGUGAAUCAGCCCUCACCAAGACUCUAGUAAAGACCAGCAUUGUAUCAGCUCUGGUCAGGGUAUGAAGUAUUGGUUAUUAUGGGAUGAAUUGUGUUUUCCUAAAUUAAUAUUUUGCUUUUGUAACUAUCAGCCUCAAAAUUUGACUUCAUUUGGAGAUAGGGUCUUUAAAGAGGUAAUUAAAUUAAUAUGGAGUCAUUAGGGUGGUCCCUAAUCCAAUAUGACGUAUAUUCUUACAAGAAGAGGACAUUUGGUUGCAGACACACAGAGAUGGAAGAGCCCGGGAAGACACAGGUAGAAGAUGGCCAUCUACAAGCCAAGGAGAGAGACUUCAGAAGAAUUCAACUCUGCCAUCACCUUGAUCUCAGACAUUUAUCCUCUAAAACUGUGGUGCACUGUGCUAUGGCAUCCCUAGCAAACUAAUACCUAGGUGUUGGUAUACAGAGAGCCAGA